UACAGAGGUCUCAAGCGUUGUUCGGAUUCAUUGGGCGUAAAGGGUGCGUAGGUGGCGCCGUAAGUCGGGUGUGAAAUUUCGGAGCUUAACUCCGAAACUGCAUUCGAUACUGCGGGUGCUUGAGGACUGGAGAGGAGACUGGAAUUCAUGGUGUAGCAGUGAAAUGCGUAGAGAUCAUGAGGAAGACCAGUGGCGAAGGCGGGUCUCUGGACAGUUCCUGACACUGAGGCACGAAGGCCCAGGGGAGCAAAACGGGG
rnacentral:rRNA from 1 species